rnacentral:rRNA from 1 species
GAUCGGCCCGCGUCUGAUUAGCUAGUUGGUGAGGUAAUGGCUCACCAAGGCGACAAUCCUUAGCUGGUUUGAGAGAACGACCAGCCACACUGGGACUGAGACACGGCCCAAACUCCUACGGGAGGCAGCAGUGGGGAAUAUUGGACAAUGGGCGCAAGCCUGAUCCAGCCAUGCCGCGUGAGUGAUGAAGGCCUUAGGGUUGUAAAGCUCUUUUGGCGGGGACAAUAAUGACGGUCCCCGCAAAAUAAGUCCCGGCUAAUUUCGUGCCACCAGCCGCGGUAAUACAAAGGGGACUAGCGUUGUUCGGAAUCACUGGGCGUAAAGCGCACGUAGGCGGAUUUGUAAGUCAGGGGUGAAAUCCCGGGGCUCAACCUCAGAACUGCUUUUGAUACUGCGAAUCUUGAGUCCGAAAAAGGUGGGUGGAAUUCCUAGUGUAGAGGUGAAAUUUCGAGAUUCUAGGAAAAAAACCCCCCGUGGAAAGGGGGUUUACUGGGCCCAUUUUUUCCCUUUAGCGACCAAAAAUUUGGGGGGGCCAAACCCGGUUUAUAUCCCCCCGGUGGUUCCCCCCCCCUAAAAACAAUGAAAGGCCCCCCCCCCUUGGGGGAAUUUCCUUCCAUUAUGGGGGGGGGCGCCUAAUAAC